rnacentral:rRNA from 1 species
GACAGAGGGUGCAAACGUUGUUCGGAAUUACUGGGCGUAAAGCGCGUGUAGGCUGCUUCGAAAGUCGGAUGUGAAAGCCCUGGGCUCAACCUAGGAAGUGCAUUCGAAACUUCGGAGCUGGAGUUCUGGAGAGGAAGGCGGAAUUCUCGGUGUAGAGGUGAAAUUCGUAGAUAUCGAGAGGAACACCGGUGGCGAAGGCGGCCUUCUGGACAGUGACUGACGCUGAGACGCGAAAGCGUGGGGAGCAAACAGG